UGAGGAACAUGACUUUCGGUGGGGGAUAGCCGGCCCAACGGCCGGGUAAUACCGCGUACGACCUUUUGGGGACAUCCCCGAGGGGUGAAAGCAGCAAUGCGCCGAAAGAGUGCCUCGCGGCCUAUCAGCUAGUUGGUGGGGUAAUGGCUCACCAAGGCGACGACGGGUAGCUGGUCUGAGAGGAUGGCCAGCCACAUUGGGACUGAGACACGGCCCAGACUCCUACGGGAGCAG
rnacentral:rRNA from 1 species